AUUGAACGCUGGCGGCAUGCCUUACACAUGCAAGUCGAACGGUAACAGGUUAAGCUGACGAGUGGCGAACGGGUGAGUAAUGUAUCGGAACGUGCCCAGUCGUGGGGGAUAACUGCUCGAAAGAGCAGCUAAUACCGCAUGCGACCUGAGGGUGAAAACGGGGGAUCGCAAGACCUCGCGCGAUUGGAGCGGCCGAUAUCAGAUUAGGUAGUUGGUGAGGUAAAGGCUCACCAAGCCGACGAUCUGUAGCUGGUCUGAGAGGACGACCAGCCACACUGGGACUGAGACACGGCCCAGACUCCUACGGGAGGCUGCAGUGGGGAAUUUUGGACAAUGGGCGCAAGCCUGAUCCAGCCAUGCCGCGUGCGGGAAGAAGGCCUUCGGGUUGUAAACCGCUUUUGUCAGGGAAGAAAAGGUUCUGGCUAAUACCUGGGACCCAUGACGGUACCUGAAGAAUAAGCACCGGCUAACUACGUGCCAGCAGCCGCGGUAACAC
rnacentral:rRNA from 1 species